UGGAAAGGGUUAUUCCACAUCGCCAUUUUUCCGCUACAAAAUCCUCAAGACUUUCCCAACUUCUUCACACAGUUCCAAAUUUAUUUCUACUCACCCAGAUUUUCUUCCAAUAAAUUUUACAACUUUCUUUCACAGAUUCGAUGCCACGAGCUGUGUAAACUUUGAGCAGAUUCAUAUCACAUAGAGGCCCACUUGAUAGAAGACUUUAGCACUGAUCUUACAAGAAGAGAAUUGUGCAAGAUUUAUCUACAAGCUUGUUAUCAAGGUUGAGCGGCAGAUGGUGACGUGCGAAGCUGAGGGAGGGUGUUGCUGUAUUUUCAGAUAAAUGCCAAGAAUAAAUUAUGCUGCCAUACUCUUAGAUGAAUAAUAUUUGGGAUUGGAUAUUUUAAUAUUCAUAGCCUAUUUAAUAUGAACUCCUGAUGUCAUCACUUUCCUAGCGAUUAUUCCUCUCAUAUAUUAUUCGCUUAGUACUAAAUGUUAUCUUAUUGUCUCACACCUCCGAACUUUUGAUCCUGGUUGGGAGAAUUUCGAUCUUAAUUGUCGUAUUUAAUAUCCUUCAAUUGCGACAUUCCUUUAUUA